rnacentral:rRNA from 1 species
UGGGGAAUUUUGGACAAUGGGGGCAACCCUGAUCCAGCCAUGCCGCGUGAGUGAAGAAGGCCUUCGGGUUGUAAAGCUCUUUCGGCGGGGACGAAACGGUCCGUGACAACACCACGGACUAAUGACAGUACUCGCAGAAGAAGCACCGGCUAACUACGUGCCAGCAGCCGCGGUAAUACGUAGGGUGCAGGCGUUAAUCGGAAUUACUGGGCGUAAAGCGUGCGCAGGCGGCUCCUUAAGUCAGAUGUGAAAUCCCCGGGCUUAACCUGGGAACUGCGUUUGAAACUGAGGGGCUAGAGUGUAGCAGAGGGGGGUAGAAUUCCACGUGUAGCAGUGAAAUGCGUAGAUAUGUGGAGGAAUACCGAUGGCGAAGGCAGCCCCCUGGGCUAACACUGACGCUCAUGCACGAAAGCGUGGGGAGCAAACAGGAUUAGAUACCCCCGUAGUCCCUGAGCGGGCUGGCAAGGCGCAU